GAUGAACGCUGGCGGCGUGCCUAAUACAUGCAAGUCGAGCGAACGGACGAGAAGCUUGCUUUUCUGAUGUUACCGGCGGACGGGUGAGUAACACGUGGAUAACCUACCUAUAAGACUGGGAUAACUUCGGGAACCCGGAGCUAAUACCCGUUAAUAUUUUGAACCGCAUGGUUCAAAAGUGAAAGACGGUCUUGCUGUCACUUAUUGAUGGAUCCGGGCUGCAUUAGCUAGGUGGUAAGGUAACGGCUUACCAAGGCUACGAUGCAUAGCCGACCUGAGAGGGUGAUCGGCCACACUGGAACUGAGACACGGUCCAGACUCCUACGGGAGGCAGCAGUAGGGAAUCUUCCGCAAUGGGCGAAAGCCUGACGGAGCAACGCCGCGUGAGUGAUGAAGGUCUUCGGAUCGUAAAACUCUGUUAUUAGGGAAGAACAUAAGUGUAAGUAACUGUGCACAUCUUGACGGUACCUAAUCAGAAAGCCACGGCUAACUACGUG
rnacentral:rRNA from 1 species